CAGCGGCCCUAGUGGUGAUCGUUAUUAUUGGGCCUAAAGCGUCCGUAGCCGGUUCGGUAAAUCUCUGGGUAAAUCGUUGGGCUUAACUCAACGAAUUCUGGGGAGACUGCCGAACUUGGGACCGGGAGAGGUCGGAGGUACUCCAGGGGUAGGGGUGAAAUCCUGUAAUCCUUGGGGGACCACCGGUGGCGAAGGCGUCCGACCAGAACGGGUCCGACGUUAAGGGACGAAGCCCUGGGGCGCGAACCGGAUUAGAUACCCGAGUAGUCC
rnacentral:rRNA from 1 species